rnacentral:rRNA from 1 species
GACGAACGCUGGCGGCGUGCCUAACACAUGCAAGUCGAACGGGGUAUUUCUUCGGAGAUACUUAGUGGCGAACGGGUGAGUAACGCGUGAGAAACCUGCCUUUCAGUGGGGGACAACAGUUGGAAACGACUGCUAAUACCGCAUAUUUCUAAUCGUCUCCUGACGAAUGGAAGAAAGGUGGCUUCGGCUACCGCUUAUGGAUGGACCCGCGGCGUAUUAGCUAGUUGGUGAGGUAAUGGCUCACCAAGGCGAUGAUACGUAGCCGACCUGAGAGGGUGAUCGGCCACACUGGGACUGAGACACGGCCCAG